GGUUAAGCGACUAAGCGUACACGGUGGAUGCCCUGGCAGUCAGAGGCGAUGAAGGACGUGCUAAUCUGCGAAAAGCGUCGGUAAGGUGAUAUGAACCGUUAUAACCGGCGAUGUCCGAAUGGGGAAACCCAGUGCAAUUCGUUGCACUAUCGUUAACUGAAUACAUAGGUUAACGAGGCGAACCGGGGGAACUGAAACAUCUAAGUACCCCGAGGAAAAGAAAUCAACCGAGAUUCCCCCAGUAGCGGCGAGCGAACGGGGAGCAGCCCAGAGUCUGAAUCAGCUUGUGUGUUAGUGGAACGGUCUGGAAAGUCCGACGGUACAGGGUGAUAGUCCCGUACACCAAAAUGCACAGGCUGUGAACUCGAAGAGUAGGGCGGGACACGUGGUAUCCUGUCUGAAUAUGGGGGGACCAUCCUCCAAGGCUAAAUACUCCUGACUGACCGAUAGUAAACCAGUACCGUGAGGGAAAGGCGAAAAGAACCCCGGCGAGGGGAGUGAAAAAGAACCUGAAACCGUGUACGUACAAGCAGUGGGAGCACCUUCGGGUGUGACUGCGUACCUUUUGUAUAAUGGGUCAGCGACUUAUAUUCUGUAGCAAGGUUAACCGUAUAGGGGAGCCGCAGGGAAACCGAGUCUUAACUGGGCGUUAAGUUGCAGGGUAUAGACCCGAAACCCGGUGAUCUAGCCAUGGGCAGGUUGAAGGUUGGGUAACACUAACUGGAGGACCGAACCGACUAAUGUUGAAAAAUUAGCGGAUGACUUGUGGCUGGGGGUGAAAGGCCAAUCAAACCGGGAGAUAGCUGGUUCUCCCCGAAAGCUAUUUAGGUAGCGCCUCGUGAAUUCAUCUUCGGGGGUAGAGCACUGUUUCGGCUAGGGGGUCAUCCCGACUUACCAACCCGAUGCAAACUACGAAUACCGAAGAAUGUUAUCACGGGAGACACACGGCGGGUGCUAACGUCCGUCGUGAAGAGGGAAACAACCCAGACCGCCAGCUAAGGUCCCAAAGUCAUGGUUAAGUGGGAAACGAUGUGGGAAGGCACAGACAGCCAGGAUGUUGGCUUAGAAGCAGCCAUCAUUUAAAGAAAGCGUAAUAGCUCACUGGUCGAGUCGGCCUGCGCGGAAGAUGUAACGGGGCUAAACCAUGCACCGAAGCUGCGGCAGCGACACUAUGUGUUGUUGGGUAGGGGAGCGUUCUGUAAGCCUGCGAAGGUGACCUGUGAGGGUUGCUGGAGGUAUCAGAAGUGCGAAUGCUGACAUAAGUAACGAUAAAGCGGGUGAAAAGCCCGCUCGCCGGAAGACCAAGGGUUCCUGUCCAACGUUAAUCGGGGCAGGGUGAGUCGACCCCUAAGGCGAGGCCGAAAGGCGUAGUCGAUGGGAAACAGGUUAAUAUUCCUGUACUUGGUGUUACUGCGAAGGGGGACGGAGAAGGCUAUGUUAGCCGGGCGACGGUUGUCCCGGUUUAAGCAUGUAGGCUGGUUGUCCAGGCAAAUCCGGAUAAUCAAGGCUGAGGUGUGAUGACGAGGCACUACGGUGCUGAAGUAACAAAUGCCCUGCUUCCAGGAAAAGCCUCUAAGCAUCAGGUAACAUUAAAUCGUACCCCAAACCGACACAGGUGGUCAGGUAGAGAAUACCAAGGCGCUUGAGAGAACUCGGGUGAAGGAACUAGGCAAAAUGGUGCCGUAACUUCGGGAGAAGGCACGCUGGUGUGUAGGUGAAGUCCCUGCGGAUGGAGCUGAGACCAGUCGAAGAUACCAGCUGGCUGCAACUGUUUAUUAAAAACACAGCACUGUGCAAACACGAAAGUGGACGUAUACGGUGUGACGCCUGCCCGGUGCCGGAAGGUUAAUUGAUGGGGUUAUCCGUAAGGAGAAGCUCUUGAUCGAAGCCCCGGUAAACGGCGGCCGUAACUAUAACGGUCCUAAGGUAGCGAAAUUCCUUGUCGGGUAAGUUCCGACCUGCACGAAUGGCGUAAUGAUGGCCAGGCUGUCUCCACCCGAGACUCAGUGAAAUUGAACUCGCUGUGAAGAUGCAGUGUACCCGCGGCAAGACGGAAAGACCCCGUGAACCUUUACUAUAGCUUGACACUGAACAUUGAGCCUUGAUGUGUAGGAUAGGUGGGAGGCUUUGAAGCGUGGACGCCAGUCUGCGUGGAGCCAACCUUGAAAUACCACCCUUUAAUGUUUGAUGUUCUAACGUUGGCCCCUGACCGGGGUUGCGGACAGUGUCUGGUGGGUAGUUUGACUGGGGCGGUCUCCUCCCAAAGCGUAACGGAGGAGCACGAAGGUUAGCUAAUCCUGGUCGGACAUCAGGAGGUUAGUGCAAUGGCAUAAGCUAGCUUGACUGCGAGCGUGACGGCGCGAGCAGGUGCGAAAGCAGGUCAUAGUGAUCCGGUGGUUCUGAAUGGAAGGGCCAUCGCUCAACGGAUAAAAGGUACUCCGGGGAUAACAGGCUGAUACCGCCCAAGAGUUCAUAUCGACGGCGGUGUUUGGCACCUCGAUGUCGGCUCAUCACAUCCUGGGGCUGAAGUAGGUCCCAAGGGUAUGGCUGUUCGCCAUUUAAAGUGGUACGCGAGCUGGGUUUAGAACGUCGUGAGACAGUUCGGUCCCUAUCUGCCGUGGGCGCUGGAGAAUUGAGGGGGGCUGCUCCUAGUACGAGAGGACCGGAGUGGACGCAUCACUGGUGUUCGGGUUGUCAUGCCAAUGGCACUGCCCGGUAGCUAAAUGCGGAAGAGAUAAGUGCUGAAAGCAUCUAAGCACGAAACUUGCCCCGAGAUGAGUUCUCCCUGAGACUUUAAGUCUCCUGAAGGAACGUUGAAGACGACGACGUUGAUAGGCCGGGUGUGUAAGCGCAGCGAUGCGUUGAGCUAACCGGUACUAAUGAACCGUGAGGCUUAACCUU
rnacentral:rRNA from 1 species